rfam:Triticum aestivum genome assembly, contig: Triticum_aestivum_CS42_TGACv1_scaffold_404820_5BL
UAACUACUCCCUCCGUUCCAAAAUUCUUGUCUUAGAUUUAUCUAGAUACGGAUGUAUCUAAUAAUAAUACAUCCGUAUUUAGACAAAUCUAAGACAAGAAUUUUGAAACGGAGGGAGUAGUCU